AUGUUGUUCGGGCUCAGACCUGGACCUUCGUGGAACGAAGGAUCUGAAAGCAGCGGAGUGCGCCUUCGUCUCCCCGAACUUCUCGAUCACCGUCUCAACGGAAAUACCGAAAAGUUCAGAAGGCGAAACCUGAGCAUCGAGAAGAAAGCCUUUUCUUUCUUCCCGAUGUCUGCCAGGUUCAUCCACAGAUGUAACAGGCAUCAUCUGCAACGGGUGAGGUCUACAGGAUCUGAUUCUGUAGAGACUGACAUGGAUGGUUCCACACAUAUAUCAUUGCCACAACUCACACAGGAACAUUCUGCACCAGUCAGGAAUGCAGAGAGAGUUCCUUCAGACACUGUAUAUGUUCCUAAAACAACUUCGACUAACGUGAAUAUGCGUUUUGUGGCAUAUUCUCCUGAUAAGACCGAAAAGAACUUAAAUUACACUUUCAGUUUUGAUUAGACAGAUAAGAGCAAUACAUCAAUCGAAUCUGUAAAGGGUCUACUUUUAUUUGUAUACAUAAUUACAACAAAACUUUGUGCAUUUAUAAAAUAAAGAAAACAAACAGAUUGCGCUGUCUGCCACCUUGGUUCUGCGUGAUCUUUAUUUAGAAACGCGUAAUUAAAAUGAACUGUAACUCAGCAAAUACUCAACACAGAGACAUGAGAGAUAGAUCUAUAGAAAGCUUGACAUUACUUUUAAACUGAGCAAGUCUUAUUGAAAACAAAUAUUCUGUGAUAAAGUAAUCCAUAUGAAAACAGUGCAGUGUCCAGUCUUUCACGUCUCCCUUCAUUAUAUCUAAUGCGACCACGCCCACACGCCGAGCGCGCUAUUGAUAUUAUAAUCGUCUACGUGAAGCUCGUGGCGGGUAAACGCCCACUUCACAGCAAACAAAGCAGCGAGACUGUACUUCAUGUUUUUUAAAUGUUACUGUUUGCUUUGCACUGAGAGGAAUAAGACAUAAUUCACCUCAAUAAGACCGCUGAGAGGAGUAAGAUUUGGAUUACCUCAGAAAGAAGACUGAAGCGGCUUGACCCAGCAGAGAUCAUAAACAUAAGUCUUUUUUUAUUAUUUAUCUACUUGUAUUAGUUUUCAUAUAACUUGCACACAUUUUACUAGUUAGAAUUUUUCCAAAAUAUAAUUCCUGACUAAUCAAGUGAAACAUUGUGAAGUUUCAUUUG
ensembl:lncRNA